rnacentral:lncRNA from 1 species
AUGGUGUAUGGGUGUUUGUGAUUUUUUUCAAUAGUCAGGAUCUUGCCACUUUAUCAAUCCGUUGGAAAUCUUUUGCCGUCUCAUUUUUUAUUUGCCCUUUAGUACCCAAAACAACAAAACUAAUAAGAGAAUAAAAAAUAAAUUCAGAUCCAAAAAUCAUUUGCUUCUUCUCUCCUUGAAUGUCUUCCAUUUCAUGAAAGCUUAAAGCACAUCCCCAUAAAUAUUUUUCACUCUCUACACCUUUCUCUUCCUCAAAAUGAUUUUCAUUACAAGAUUUCAUCUCUAUUUUCUAUUUGUCUAUCUUUUCCAACAAAAUUCCAAUUCCAAACUCACAUUUUCCUUUGUUGAAUGGAUCUAGUAUGUCAUAUUAUUUUGGAGUUUGAGAGAUAGACUUUUCCUUUCUGAAAGUGGGUUUUGAUGGCGGAGACUCGUCAUGGCAUUAGUAUCACUGUAAUCGUGGUUGUAUAAUAGGAGGAGCUUGCCAUCAAUGUUUGUUCAUCCAUUGAUGCUCUUGUUUCUGUUGUAACGACUAACAUAGUUUCUUCAUAUUUCAGUGUGAUGAUAACACACUGUAUUUCUGUGUCAUGUUUCAUGAAGGUAACCGAUAGCGGCAAUAGUGUUUCAUCGACUUAUGAGAAUGCAGAUGUAGUUGUUGGUGAAACAUAUUCUACUCCUUCUUUCUCUUAUUUUUUUGCAUCUUAUGGUGUUGAUGGGAUAUAAGGUUGUUUUAGUGUUGGUAAUGCAGAUAUUACCAUGAGUUUGUUUUUUGUAUCUUCAUCACCACCAUUUUUAGUGUGUUAAAUUUGUAAUGGUUUGUUCCCCAAAUCUUUAUGUAAUUUAAGGAUUAACUCUCUUUUCUCAAUAAACAAAUAUGCAAUUGGAG